UUGCUCCUGAGCUGCGCAGCUUUAACUGAAAGCAGCAUUGUGGACACAGCGCCCACCUCCGCUCCUCUGGCUGUGUUUUUUCUUUGCACAAGCAGCCAUUAUAGCUGAGAUACAAAAAGUUUUUUUUUUCUUUUCCUCUUCUUUUUUUUUGCGUUUUCAGGGUGCAAGUGCUUCUUUUGUUUAAAAGCUGAACGCGACACGGAGUGAAGGCAUUCGGUGCGUGGCGCAGCACGAUAGUGCGGUGUCCGAUUACGAACCGUGCGCCGGGCAGCUUGGUCCCGGUGAGCGCUUCCCCGUGGGGCAGAAAUAGCACACUUAGCUCCGGAGUUGACGAGACAGAGCACAGAGGAAUCCCUGUAGAGACAGAAGGAGUUUUUGUUUUUCAUUACAAUUAUUUUUGAACGUCAUUCCCAGAGCCAAAUAAGCUGUAAGGAUAUUUCAUCUCCAGCUCCUCUUCAUUUCCAGCUACCCCACCACUCUUCUCACUGGGACAAGACACGCAGUUUUGCUCAGUGCUAGAUGAACGGGAGUUGGGCACUUUACUUGGUGUGCCCUCUUGCUCUUGGCCUUUGAGGCCUAAGGAGAAAAAAAGCAAAGCCCAGACCCCCAUGGGACGCCCUGUUAUCCAGCAUGCACUGCUGCUGUUGCAGUGCAUGUUGGUCCUGCGCCCUUGUGGUGUUGCCAGUAGGAGAGGGCCGGUGCUACUGCCUGAAUCUCCCUGCCACAAGACGGAGCACCCACUCAUCCCACACUCAGAGAUGGAGCCAUGGAUUUUCAGGUUCAAAGCAGAGGGCACAGUGGAUUAUUCACAGCUGACCUUCGACCCUGGCCAGAAUGAACUGAUCGUUGGUGCCAGAAAUCAUCUCUUCAGACUCAACCUUGAAGACUUGACAUUGAUCCAGGAGGCUGAAUGGCACUGUGAUGAGUUCACAAAGGGAGCCUGCUUCAGCCGUGGAAAAUCAGAGGAGGAGUGCCAGAACUACAUUAGGGUGCUGCUGGUUAAUGGGAACAGGCUGUUUACCUGUGGAACCAAUGCAUUCACCCCCAUCUGCACCAAUCGAACGCUCACAAACCUGACUGAGAUCCACGAUCAGAUCAGCGGGAUGGCUCGGUGUCCCUACAACCCCUUGCACAACUCCACAGCCCUCAUCACAUCCAGCGGAGAGCUCUACGCCGCCACCGCCAUGGACUUCUCUGGACGAGACCCGGCCAUCUACCGCAGCCUUGGCGGACUGCCGCCUUUACGCACUGCCCAGUACAACUCCAAGUGGCUAAACGAGCCAAAUUUCGUCUCCUCCUAUGACAUCGGCAACUUCACUUACUUCUUCUUCCGAGAAAAUGCGGUGGAGCAUGACUGCGGCAGGACUGUGUUUUCCCGAGCCGGACGUGUGUGCAAGAAUGACAUCGGUGGCCGCUUUCUGCUGGAGGAUACGUGGACCACCUUCAUGAAAGCCAGGCUGAACUGCUCCAGGCCAGGAGAAAUUCCCUUCAACUACAACGAGCUGCAGGGCACCUUCUACCUGCCUGAGCUGGAGCUGCUCUAUGGCAUUUUUACAACUAAUGUAAACAGCAUUGCUGCAUCUGCAGUAUGCGCCUUCAAUCUCAGUGCCAUAUCCCAGGUUUUUAAUGGACCUUUUAAGUACCAGGAAAACUCACGAUCGGCUUGGCUGCCCUACCCUAACCCAAACCCAAACUUUCAGUGCGGCACCAUCAACUCUGGCUCCUAUGUAAACCUGACUCAAAGAAACCUGCAGGAUGCACAGAAGUUUUUGCUGAUGCAUGAGGUGGUCCAGCCAGUGGUCCCUGUUCCUUAUUUCAUGGAAGACAAUGUGCGCUUCACUCAUAUAGCAGUGGAUGUGGUACAAGGGAAAGACACACUGUUCCACAUCAUUUAUUUGGCCACUGAUUAUGGCACUAUCAGAAAAGUGCUGUCUCCUCUCAACCAGUCCACGGGGAGCUGCCUAUUGGAGGAGAUCGAGUUGUUCCCGCCCAGGAAGAGGCAGCCGAUACGGAGCCUGCUGAUCCUGCACAGCCGCAGCGAGCUUUACGUGGGCUUCAGGGACCAGGUCAUCAAGAUACCGCUCAAGAGAUGCAGCUACCACAAGAGCAGAGAAGCCUGCGUAGGAGCCAGGGACCCGUAUUGUGGCUGGGAUUUGUUGCUGAAAAAAUGCACCACCCUGGAGGAAAGUGUCAGAAUGAGCCAGUGGGAGCAGAGCAUCACAAAAUGUCCAGUCCGUAAUGUUACAGUCGAUGGGGGCUUUGGUGCCUGGUCUGGCUGGUCCACCUGCACCCACAAUGAUGGAGGCAGCUCAGGUGCUUGUCUGUGUCGGACGAGAGCCUGCGAUAACCCCACCCCUCAGUGUGGUGGCCAGAAGUGCUAUGGGAUCAGCGUUGAAGUCGCCAACUGUUCCAGAAAUGGAGCUUGGACUCCCUGGACUUCCUGGUCCCCUUGCAGCACCAGUUGUGGCAUCGGUUUUCAGGUGCGUCAACGCUCCUGCAGCAACCCAACACCUCGCCACGGUGGGAGAGUGUGUGUUGGCCAGAAUCGUGAGGAAAGGUACUGUAAUGAACACCUGCCCUGCCCUCCCCAUGUGUAUUGGUCGGCCUGGUCGGCUUGGGAACGUUGCAAUGUGCCCUGCGGCGGAGGCAUCCAAUCCCGACGCAGAACCUGUGAGAAUGGCAAUGACUGUCCAGGGUGUGGUCAGGAGUACCAGUCCUGCAACACCCUGCCGUGCCCCGACCUCAAGAAGACAACGCCCUGGACUCCGUGGACACCCGUCAAUAUUUCUGACAACGGCGGCCACUAUGAGCAGCGUUUCCGCUACACCUGCAAAGCACGCAUCCCCGACCCAAGUCUCCUGGAAGUGGGGAGGCAGAGGAUUGAGAUGCGCUACUGCUCCAGCGAUGGAUCCACUGGCUGCUCCACUGACGGUGAAGUUCUUCGUCUGGGGAGGAUCUCUGGCCACACUGUGAAUGGUGGCUGGUCCUCCUGGAGUUCCUGGUCUCAGUGUAGCAGAGACUGCAGCCGAGGCAUUCGGAGCAGAAAGAGGACCUGCAGCAGCCCAGAGCCGCGGUACGGAGGUCAGACCUGCCUGGGCCCGGCGCAGGAGUUUCAGGAGUGUAACAUCACGCCCUGCCCAGUGGAUGGCAGUUGGUCCUGCUGGUCAUCAUGGUCUAAGUGCUCUGUGACUUGUGGAGGAGGACACUACAUGAGGACGAGGACCUGCAGCAACCCUCCACCAGCCUACGGAGGAGACAUCUGCCUGGGACUGCACACCGAGGAAGCACUUUGCAACACACAGGCUUGUCCAGAGAGCUGGUCCAGCUGGUCUGAGUGGUCCCACUGUGACUCCAGCGGCGCCCAGCUGCGAGUGCGUCACUGCGAUGUUCUUUUCCCCACUGGAAACCAGUGCUCAGGAAACAGCAGCGAGACCAGACCCUGCUCCCCUGACUCCAACUUUAUACCAGAAGUCUCCAUCGCACGCUCCAGUCAGGAGGAGAGGCGCUGUGGAGAUUUCAACCUUUUCCACAUGAUCGCAGUGGGUCUCAGCAGCUCCAUUCUUGGUUGCCUGGUCACACUGCUCGUCUACUCCUACUGCCAGCGCUACCAGCAGCAGUCCCACGACGCCACCGUCAUACACCCCAUCUCCGCCGCCCCGCUCAAUACCAGCAUCACCAACCACAUCAACAAACUGGACAAGUACGACACCGUGGAAGCCAUCAAGCCAGAUGUGUCGGUACUCUUGCCUCUGGACGACCCUGCCAUGCACCAGCCUCUCUCUGCUAACAUGGGGGUGUCUAUGCGUGGACUGGAGAUUUUCUACUAACCAACCUCAACAACAUCCCGCUUCUUGACUCCCCACUCCAAAACCCCGACAACUCUUUGACCCCCCUCAUCCAGUACUACUUCCUGUUCCCAAACGAGUCCUGCCCUUGCACUUCCUGUGGCACUUCCUGUGUGUGGCAGGGCUUCAACAAAAACAAUCUGAUUCUGGAGGAAAGGAAUAAAUACUUCAACCCACAGCUUGCCGGGAAGACUUAUACCAAUGCGUAUUUCUCCGACCUCAACACCUAUGAUGACUAUUAACCCCAGACUUUUAUAGCGGAGAUCAUUACCCUGUUGUCCAUUUUGACCACUUCCCCUUUCCUUGUGCUUUGUAUUGAGAUUUGUAACACCUUAUGUGGGAUACUCCCACGGUGACACGCGGUGGCAGCUGGUAUGUAACGAAAACACAAACACUGGUGUUGCCAAAAGAGGGAAAUGCCCACUUUCUCUCAGGUGCCUUGGGGUACACUUGGAAAAACCUGAACUCGCCAAGAGAAAUGGACAAUUGGCUCUCCAAUGCUGCGGAUAUUUUGGGGAGUGACAUUCAAUCUGUUUAUUUCCUGAUGCCCCUAAGACAGACCUGUAUUUGUAACGAUGGGAAAUGACCACAAAUUUCUUUGCAUGACUUCAUCUGAUGUGUUUGCUCUGCUGUUCCGUUGCAAUUUGCAUGAUGGAUCACAUUCCAGGGUUCCAGAGACAGUUUGAUGCUGUUAUUGGUUAUGGGAUUUGCGUCAGAAGUCCUAAAACAAAUAGUCUGUAGGAAUGACCGGUGGUUUUUACCACUCGCUACAACGGUAAUGCCCUACCUGACAGUUGGAACAAUGUCCAACUCCAGUCGUAGAUUCAGGAUGUAGAUAUUUGAUGUCUGUGGUCAACAUUGGUUAUGUUAUUGUUUUAUUUUUAUUUUUAAUUGUUUUCUUUAUUUCUUUUCAGUAGCUACAAAAAAAUACAAGUUAUAAAUAUAUAUUAAAAAAAUUCCCUUUUUUUAUGUUUUUGUACAGAAAAUUACGUUUGAUGCCUAUGUCUAGAUUUUCUAUGCAUUUACUCAUUGUUUCAAGUGUGUAGAGUGCAUCUUUUAAAAAGAAAAACAACAUUGUGUCCACAUUUUGGCAAUUAUUUGGGAGUACUCAUAGCAGGUUGCCUCAAUUUACCAUUGCCAUAGUACUUUUUAUAAAUAUUUUGUAAAAGAAUAAGAAAAAAAAAAACAUUGUUUUUGAAUUUUGAUAGUGUUCACUAUUUUGUUGACUUCUGAGUCAUAAAUAUGUGUUUGUGAAAGCAGAAUGUUAUUGGCAUUAACUAUACAGAUGGAGCAUACAUAGCAAGUACUGUUUCUCUGAUUCUCAGCUUCAGUGCUACCCAUGUACCGUAACUUGUUUUUGUUUGUUUGUUCUUUUUUAUCUAUUUUAUUUCUUUUUGUUCAGUUGCAACUAACUCUUUCUACAUGUUUGCUUGUGUUUAUGUGCAUAAAUUAAAACAGCUUCCUACAAAACUUGUCUACAGUGACUGACGGAUUCAACGGUCUGUACUCCUUUUUGUAAAGCUUUGCUGGAAAAUUAUCUAAUAAAUGUUUAUUUUCAUUUA